rnacentral:rRNA from 7 species
CGUAACAAGGUCUCCGUUGGUGAACCAGCGGAGGGAUCAUUACUGAGUUACCGCUCAUCAACCCUUUGUGAACAUACCUUAACUGUUGCUUCGGCGGGUAGGCGUCCCCUAAAAAGGACGUCUCCCGGCCCUCUCCCGUCCGCGGGUGGGGCGCCCGCCGGAGGAUAACCAAACUCUGAUUUAACGACGUUUCUUCUGAGUGACACAAGCAAAUAAUCAAAACUUUUAACAACGGAUCUCUUGGUUCUGGCAUCGAUGAAGAACGCAGCGAAAUGCGAUAAGUAAUGUGAAUUGCAGAAUUCAGUGAAUCAUCGAAUCUUUGAACGCACAUUGCGCCCGCCAGCAUUCUGGCGGGCAUGCCUGUUCGAGCGUCAUUUCAACCCUCAAGCUCUGCUUGGUGUUGGGGCUCUACGGUUGACGUAGGCCCUUAAAGGUAGUGGCGGACCCUCUCGGAGCCUCCUUUGCGUAGUAACAUUUCGUCUCGCAUUGGGAUUCGGAGGGACUCUAGCCGUAAAACCCCCAAUUUUACUAAGGUUGACCUCGGAUCAGGUAGGAAUACCCGCUGAACUUAAGCAUAUCAAUA